rnacentral:tRNA from 1 species
GAUUGCGUAGCUCAGUCGGUAGAGCAGCGGCCUUUUAAGCCGUAGGUCCUGGGUUCAAGUCCCAGCGCAAUCA